rnacentral:rRNA from 1 species
AUUGAACGCUGGCGGCAUGCUUUACACAUGCAAGUCAAACGGUAACAGGCCGCAAGGUGCUGACGAGUGGCGAACGGGGGAGUAAUGCAUCGGAACGUGCCCAGUCGUGGGGGAUAACGCAGCGAAAGCUGCGCUAAUACCGCAUACGAUCUGUGGAUGAAAGCGGGGGACCGAAAGGCCUCGCGCGAUUGGAGCGGCCGAUGUCAGAUUAGGUAGUGGGUGGGGUAAAGGCCCACCAAGCCAACGAUCUGUAGCUGGUCUGAGAGGACGACCAGCCACACUGGGACUGAGACACGGCCCAGACUCCUACGGGAGGCAGCAGUGGGGAAUUUUGGACAAUGGGCGCAAGCCUGAUCCAGCAAUGCCGCGUGCAGGAAGAAGGCCUUCGGGUUGUAAACUGCUUUUGUACGGAACGAAACGGCUCUGGUUAAUACCUGGGGCUAAUGACGGUACCGUAAGAAUAAGCACCGGCUAACUACGUGCCAGCCGCCGCCGUAAUAC